rnacentral:misc_RNA from 1 species
CACAUCAUGGAAGCCGGUCGCACCCGAAGUGCCUGUAUCAACCGCAAGGGGACAGGGUCCUAAGGUGUAGCUGGUAACUGGGAUGAAGUCGUAACAAGGUAGCCGUAGGGGAACCUGCGGCUGGAUCACCUCCUUUCUACGGAGAAAUCCGCACACCAUGCUCAUGGUCCCUGCGGAAGGUCGAGGCCCCGGCCACGCCAGCAAUGGCCGAAGACGGGGCUUGUGGGGACGCAAGUCUUCACACCUAAACGCUUAUUUGUUUAUUCCGCGCGAUCCGCCCGACGGGACGCAGCGCGCAAUCCGGUCUUUUUCCUCACCAGCCCCGCGGCUGGUCCACACGUCACACGCGAGAGCGUCCGCUCAUUGACAUCCAUAUGGAGAGAAAGAUGAUUUGAUUGACUGCAAA